UCUCGAUUGGUCUAGUGGCUAGGAUACCUGCUUGUCAUUCAUUUCAAUGAACAAGCCCGCAGGUGGCCGGGGUUCGAUUCCCCGAUCGAGAG